ensembl:lncRNA
CUGGGAGCAGAUGUUGCCUGACAGGGAACUCGACAAGAGUGACAGCCAUGCUGAGCUGCCAGUCUGGGAGGUGGUAGCUGAGAGUCCUGUGGUGGAGGAUGGGUUCUUGAAGAAAAUGGAUCAAGAGUAGCCAGAGAUGAGCCCAACACAUCAGAUAGCAGUUUUGCAGGGGAUCAAGACUGGACAUUUCUGGGAUUCUGAGAGGGAAUGCAUGGAACCCAUUCUCUACGAGAACUCACUUUGUCAGCUCAGUUGAUAAAGAAUCCGCCUACGAUGCUGGAGACCUGUGUUCGAUCCCUGUGUCAGGAAGAUCCCCUGGAGAAGGGAAAGGCUACCUGCUCCCGUAUUCUGGCCUAGAGAAUUCCA